rnacentral:rRNA from 1 species
AACGAACGCUGGCGGCAUGCCUAACACAUGCAAGUCGAACGAGACCGGCGGGUAUAGUGGCGCACGGGUGCGGAAGGCGAGGGAACCUGCCCUUAGGUUCGGAAUAACUCCCCGCAAGGGGUGCUAAUACCGGAUAAUGUCUUCGGACCAAAGAUUUAUCGCCUUAGGAUGGGCACGCGUUGGAUUAGCUAGUUGGUAGGGUAAAAGCCUACCAAGGCGACGAUACAUAGCUGGUCUGAGAGGAUGAUCAGCAACACUGGGACUGACACACGGCCCAGACUCCUACGGGAGGCAGCAGUGGGGACUAUUGGACGAUGGGCGAGUGCCUGAUCCAGCAAUGCCGUGUGAGUGAUGAAGGCCUUAGGGUUGUAAAGCUCUUUUAACCGGGAUGAUAAUGACAGUACCGGGAGAAUAAGCGCCGGCUAACUCCGUG